rnacentral:lncRNA from 1 species
UAACUUUUAAACUCCAUCAAAUUUUUAAAAUGCCCUAUUCCUUUAUUUUCAAUCAAUUUUUUAUAUCAUCCGAACCGGAUAAUAAUAUUUGACGAGUGAACAAAGGAAUAGUAACAAUUAAAUGAAAUGACAUCACCUUUAAGUAGGAAAACUGUGGCAGCAAAUAGAUAUUGCAAGUGCUUUUUCACUAGACAAAGAAAACAAUCAAAAUAAAGAAGACAAAAACAAAAUCUUCCAAUAGGAAAAUGUAACGAAUGAUUUAUUUCAUAAAAUCAAAACGGUAUAUAAUUCAAUAUCAAAAGAAAAGGUUUAUUAUACAAACAAUGCAGUAUCCAAUCUCUAUCCUAUAACAAUCAAAUUAAUCCAAAUUGUAUAUAUAUAUAUAUAUAUAUAUAUAUAUAUAUAUAUAUAUAUAUAAUCAAAUCACAAUCCUCAAUCCUAAAAAGAAGAGAUGCAAUUUUAAUGAUUCUUCAAGAAUGCAAGAAAAGAUAAGACGAGAGAGAAUCCAAUAACAGCGGUAGAAACUGGCGAAGAAAAUCCAGCUCCAGUGUCCAUGGACGGUGCCGGAGCGGAGGCCAACUGGGCAGAGGUAGUUGCAAAAGAAAAGACAGCAGCAAUAAGCAAAACCAUAACGGCUCUAGAAAGGGCAACUCGCUCCAUAAUUAGUAACUCUGACAAUGUUGGAGAAUUAUAGAAGAAAAUAUUAGGACAGUUAAAGAGAGAGUCUUAAUAAUUUUCUUAGAAUGUAAGAAAGAUAUAGUAAUAAGAUGUUGCAUAUGUUGGUAUAUAUAUAUAUAUAUAUAUAAAUUUUUAUCUGACACGUUCUAAUAAAUUAAUAAAAAUAAUGUAUGUAAGAGGCUAAUAUUUAUGAAUGUGAGUUGGCCACAUCUGGAACAGCUAAAGCCUUUGAUAUUUGGUGCGCAGUGUGAAUUGGUC